rnacentral:rRNA from 1 species
CACACACAGCCCGUCGCUUCAUCGAAGUUGGGUUUAGGCGAGGUGGUGCGAUUUGGCAUUAUCGAACCUGAGAUCAGCAACGAGGGAG